rfam:Candidatus Entotheonella sp. TSY1 genomic scaffold TSY1_scaffold00128, whole genome shotgun sequence.
GCCCUCGCGGAGCAGUCCGGAGUGCUCGCCAGCUUGUCAGGCUGGAGAUCGUGGGUUCAAAUCCCAUCGAGGGCG